UAUAAACAGGGUGGUGAUCUAUUGUUCUCCAUGUACACUGAAGGUAGGACAACAAGUAAUAAGAUUAAUCUGCAGCAGGGCAGAUUUAGGUCAGAUAUUAGGAAAAACUUUCUAACUAUAAGGGUAGUUAAGCACUGGACCAUAUUGCCUAAGGAGG